rnacentral:rRNA from 1 species
GACGAACGCUGGCGGCGUGCUUAACACAUGCAAGUCGAACGGAAAGGCCCUGCUGUUGUGGGGUGCUCGAGUGGCGAACGGGUGAGUAACAAGUGAGUAACCUGCCCUUGACUUUGGGAUAACUUCAGGAAACUGGGGCUAAUACCGGAUAGGAGCUCCUGCUGCAUGGUGGGGGUUGGAAAGUUUCGGCGGUUGGGGAUGGACUCGCGGCUUAUCAGCUUGUUGGUGGGGUAGUGGCUUACCAAGGCUUUGACGGGUAGCCGGCCUGAGAGGGUGACCGGCCACAUUGGGUCUGAGAUACGGCCCAGACUCCUGCGGGAGGCAGCAGUGGGAAAUAUUGCACAAUGGGCGGAAGCCUGAUGCAGCAACGCCGCGUGCGGGAUGACGGCCUUCGGGUUGUAAACCGCUUUCGCCUGUGACGAAGCGUGAGUGACGGUAAUGGGUAAAGAAGCACCGGCUAACUACGUG